rnacentral:rRNA from 1 species
CACCGCCCGUCACGCCACUGAAGUGGUGAGCGCCCGAAGUCCGUGUCGGAACCCGCAAGGGCCAAGGCGGCCGAAGGCGAGCAUCAUGACUGGGGCG